CUACGGGAGGCACCAGUGGGGAAUAUUGCACAAUGGGCGCAAGCCUGAUGCAGCCAUGCCGCGUGUAUGAAGAAGGCCUUCGGGUUGUAAAGUACUUUCAGCGGGAAGGAAGGGAGUAAAGUUAAUACCUUUGCUCAUUGACGUUACCCGCAGAAGAAGCACCGGCUAACUCCGUGCCAGCAGCCGCGGUAAUACGGAGGGUGCAAGCGUUAAUCGGAAUUACUGGGCGUAAAGCGCACGCAGGCGGUUUGUUAAGUCAGAUGUGAAAUCCCCGGGCUCAACCUGGGAACUGCAUCUGAUACUGGCAAGCUUGAGUCUCGUAGAGGGGGGUAGAAUUCCAGGUGUAGCGGUGAAAUGCGUAGAGAUCUGGAGGAAUACCGGUGGCGAAGGCGGCCCCCUGGACGAAGACUGACGCUCAGGUGCGAAAGCGUGGGGAGUAAACAGGAUUAGAUACCCUCGUAGUC
rnacentral:rRNA from 1 species